AGAAGGCGACCAUACAUCAGAGCUUGAGGCGGAAACGGCCCGUGUAGUCGGGGGAGGGGAGACAAGAUGAGACCACGUGACGGCGCCUGUGCCUGUGGGCGAGCUGCCCUCCUGCGUGGGGCUUUCCGGGAGAAGCCAUCUUGAGAGUGGGUACGUGGCGGGUCAGGCGGCGGGAAGCGUGCUUCUCCCAGGCUGCCGCCAUCUUGCAAACGGGCAUAGUCUACCUCCGCCUAGGGCGCGAGGGUAAAGGGAGGUGCGUCGCCAUCUUGAGGUUGGGCAGAAAAACUAUAGGGCUCCAUCUUGCUUGUGGGCACCUGCCCGUUGUCUGAUUCCAACUCAGACGGCCCUCUUGGGUUAGCGCGCCGGGAUCUGGCGGCCUAACGCGUCCCAGAUGUGGGUGGGCUCUUUCCACCGCUGGCCACCAAGCAUGCUUCGCGAUGUGGUCAGGGGUCGUCCCGACUGUCCUUUGUUCACCCCAGAGCAACGAAGCCCGACCAGGGUCCCCUCCCCUGACUGCGGGAAUGGAGAAACCGAGGCCCGGGGCGCACGGGCAUUGGCAUGAAGUCCCCCACAUGAAAACGCCUCCCGGGACAUCUCCCUUAAAAUGUCUGAGGAGUUCUUUCCUGCUUCUCACUGGAGCUCCUUGCUAUAACAGGAAGUCAGGAGAGCAUCACUCAGCCUGAUAAGGAGAGAAGCCCGACACUCGCUACCAUGCGGACGGACCUGGAGACCACGACGCUCAGUGAGAGAAGCAGACAGAAGGACACACAGGGUGGGAUGCCAUGGAUGGGAAACAUCCAGAACAGGCGCAUCCACAGACACAGAGCGCGGGUUUCUGGUUGUCAGGGGCUCGGGAGGGAAUGUUAACAGCUGGCAUUUCUUUCCCGGUGAUGGUGGUUGCACAGCUCUGAAUAUAUUGAAAACCACUG